AGUCCACUUAAGCCCUGCUUAGUGUUGGGAGUCUACGCGAGCGGUGCUACCCGGGACCUACCCGGUGGCUACCCUGUAGUUCCUCAAAGACAGCGGCGGAGUCGUGUUGUCCUCUGAGCUUAGUAAUUACUUCCUAGCUUUCGAGUCAGCACCUCCCUUGCCGUAAAACACCCUUCUUUUGAAUGG
rnacentral:misc_RNA from 1 species